rnacentral:misc_RNA from 1 species
GUAAGAUAUCAUAUAGCUUCUCUUUCUUUUCUCUAGAUCCCAAUUUUCAUUCCGAUAAUCUUCUUCUUCCCUAUCCAAUUCAAUUUCUCCUGUUCCUUGACCCUAAUACUACUCUCGGAUUGUGGAAUUUGAUUUUGUUUCUACUCCAAUGGCUACUGAAGAACCGGUGGUGCCGGUGGAGUCGGCGGCAGAGCCGAACAACACCGAACAAGCGGAAGAAAAUCCGGCGAACAAGGCUGCGAAGUCUAAGAAGUCCAAAGAACCUAAAGAGAAGAAACCUGCUGCUCCUAGGAAACCUAGAAAUCCCCCAACUCAUCCUCCAUAUGAAGAGAUGA